CUCCGGUCCCUUGGUGUCCAGGGCGAUGGCCACGGGUCGGUAGCCGAGGGGAGAAGUUGCAAAGCUCUCCACCGCCUCCCGGAUGUUGGCGAUGGACUGAGCGUGGUACUGGGGACAAGCGGCAGCGAUUUCAGGGGAAGGCGCUCCACCGAGUGAGAAGCCGGCCCUGGAAGCAGAGAUCCCGCUCAGACAACCUUCUUGCCAAACCCAUCGCCACCCGCAGAGCCGCCCCACGCCACAGCAGCCCAGCCGCCUGACCUUUAUUCCCUGACGCAACCUCUCUGCUCACAGAGAGACACAGAGAGAGCAAACAUGAGCAGGGGUAGGGGCAGAGGGAGAAGGAGAAGCUCAACCCCAGGACCCUGGGAUCAUGACUGGAGAUGAAGGCAGAUGGUUAAUGGAGUGAGCCACCCAGGAGCCCCUAAAAAUAAAAAAUCUUAUAAAAGAAUCUAUCAUUAAAUACAAGAUUUUACUUAUUUAUUUGACAGAGAGAGAGACACAGCCAGCGAGAGAGGGAACACAAGC